AUGCAUGAAUCGAUCUUGGGUGUUAUUUAAAUAUAAAUGUUCAUCGUGGUCGUAGGUGCAGCCGAUAGAAGGUGGAACCAUAGAGUCAAUGUGGUACGUAGGGUCUCCACCAAGGAGAACCGGAAAUCCUCUUGUACACGACCUUCAUUUCAUUCACUGCCUCCAUCUUCUCCCCAAUUUCUCAAGAACGAAGGCUUGAUCAUCACAUCUUCUUAGACUAGCUACGUACCUCGUCUAUACAUAUAUAUGAAUGCAUAGUAAUUGCUUUUCAAACAUUUUUUAUUUUUAAAAGUUUUUCUCCAAGAUAUUCGUCUAAUCUUCACAUCUUGUACAUGACUUGUGUUUCCUUUUAUCU